UUUCCGUAGGUGAACCUGCGGAAGGAUCAUUAUCGUACAAAAUGUGAGGGGCAUGCGAGGGCUGUCGCUGACCCAAAAGUCGUGCACGCCCGAGUGUGUCCUCUUGCAUAAUAAUCCAUCUCACCCUUUGUGCAACACCGCGUGGGUCCCCCUUUGGCUUGUUCGGAGGGGGGCUUACGUUUUCACACAAACUUUGUAUGCAGUGUAGAAUGUAUUUUUUGUUUUUGCGAUCACGCAAUCAAUACAACUUUCAACAACGGAUCUCUUGGCUCUC
rnacentral:misc_RNA from 1 species